rnacentral:misc_RNA from 1 species
UCCGGCUCAACGCCGGCAGUCUCUCUAGAGUCCCCGACAUUACUCGCUGGCAACUAAAGAUGGGGGUUGCGCUCGUUGCGGGACUUAACCCAACACCUCACGGCACGAGCUGACGACAGCCAUGCAACACCUAUCGCAGGCCCUUACGGACACCACGUUUCCGUGGCUUUUCCUGCGUAGUUCAGCCCAGGUAAGGUUCUUCGCGUCACAUCGAAUUAAGCCACAUGCUCCGCCGCUUGUGCGGGUCCCCGUCAAUUCCUUUGAGUUUUAGCCUUGCGGCCGUACUCCCCAGGCGGGGUGCUUAAUGCGUUAGCUUCGGCACAGAGGACGUCGAUAGCCCCCCACACCUAGCACCCAUCGUUUACGGCUGGGACUAC